rnacentral:misc_RNA from 1 species
GAAAUGCGAUACGCAAUGCGAAUUGCAGAAUUCCGCGAAUCAUCAGAUUCUUGAACGCAACUGGCGCUGGAGGGAUAUCCUUUCAGCAUGUCUGUUUCAGUGUCUGAUAACAUCACAAUAAACAUAAUGUGUUUGACAAGGAUGGAUCAAUCAGAUCAUCCACGUCUUACAUGAAAGAUGUAUGUGUGGGUCUUUGGGUCCAUCGAAUUGGUCACUGAUAUCUCAGUGAUUUCGAUUGGAAUAUCCAAUUACCUGUAUGCACAUAGAAUUCAUAUAAUUAUUCUCUAAAAUCUGCAUCUGAAAUCAGGCAAGAACACCCGCUGAACUUAA